rnacentral:rRNA from 1 species
AUUGAACGCUGGCGGCAUGCUUUACACAUGCAAGUCGAACGGUAACAGGGUGCUUGCACCGCUGACGAGUGGCGAACGGGUGAGUAAUGCGUCGGAACGUGCCGAGUAGCGGGGGAUAACGCAGCGAAAGUUGUGCUAAUACCGCAUACGUACUGAGGUAGAAAGUGGGGGACCUUCGGGCCUCACGCCAUUCGAGCGGCCGCCGUCUGAUUAGCUAGUAGGUGAGGUAAAGGCUCACCUAGGCGACGAUCAGUAGCGGGUCGGAGAGGAUGAUCCGCCACACUGGGACUGAGACACGGCCCAGACUCCUACGGGAGGCAGCAGUGGGGAAUUUUGGACAAUGGGCGAAAGCCUGAUCCAGCCAUGCCGCGUGUCUGAAGAAGGCCUUCGGGUUGUAAAGGACUUUUGUCGGGGAGGAAAUCCCCAGCGCUAAUACCGCUGGGGGAUGACAGUACCUGAAGAAUAAGCACCGGCUAACUACGUGCCAGCAGCCGCGGUAA